CUUUCAGUGACGUAUCAGCCUACCCUAACAUGGAAGAUUCCCAGAACGUCCCUGUGGACUUCCAGGCUAUGAUUAACGCAGCUGUCGCUGCCUCUGUGGAGAAGGCACUCUCCAAGGCCCGAGCUCCGGCUCCUGACGUACCAAAAACCUGCAGACGUACACGCCACGAAUCGGAUUCCGACUUGUCCGACUAUCAGAUAAGGGAUGACUCCCGCCAUAAAAAGCGCCAUGACAAAGGCGAAGAUUAU